GAAAUUGUCACCCAUAAUUAUGACCCUAGUAUCGAUUGCAUUUCAAUCUGUUUUAGGGUUAGGGGUGGGGGGAAAGGGUAUCUUUUUUUCUUCAGGAAUGUAAAUAAACCCAAUCUGUUCCUUAAACGAGGGACAUAUUCAUACGGCACAGAAUGUUUUCACCUCAAUAGAUGCCAUUGAUUGGUUGAAAUUGCAGAAAUUGAAGACAAAAAACCAACAAAUAGCUUACAAACUACAGAAUUUUCUCAAUAAAGCUAAGAGAAAAAUAUGUUUUAUGAACACAUUCUACCAGUAUACGAAGUUUAAAAGUGUUUAGUUACGUGGAAAUUAUUUUAAAAAACUGCCGGUCAAACCGAAAAGAUCCCCAAAAGGUAUCCAAGCAUUGUUCUUUAGAUGAGAGAGAAGUGUGAAGGAAGGACAAUGAUUGGACAGGAGAGAAAAUGACGUCAGAAACGGAUCGGAAGUGCAACGGCCUGACGUCACAUCAGGAAGAUAUAAGUCAAAGAUGCCUUCUUUCUUUCGGUGUCUGCGACGGGGUCCAGUUCGUGCGCUGGAAACGGUCGUAGAUUAGAAUAUGUGAGUGUAUAUAUUCUAUAUUACCUUGAAGGUAAAAUCGUUGACAGAAUGGGACAAAGAAGACACCGGAACGAAACGAACCAGUCAUAGAAAAUUGAAGAACUAUAACCAUAUAAAGGGAUAUAACUUUCCUUAAUUAAUUAAUUAAGGUGCUUAAUUAACGAUCACUGACUCGUUGUUUGUAUCUGAAUACGGUAAGUUGACAAAGAUUUAUUUUAAGGCUGUAAUGAUGAUGAUAAUACCAAUAAUGAUAAGGUACUACUAGCGAACAGUGGUCCCGGUGCGAGCACUCGCGUAUCCGCGCUUGCUAGUCGUAAGUAGUCGAUCCUACAAUUUUUAAAACUAAGUAAAUACAUUAUUUUUGUAAACAAACUAAGGUUAGGGUUAAAAAGUCGU
rnacentral:lncRNA from 1 species